rnacentral:rRNA from 1 species
UACGGAGGGUGCGAGCGUUGUCCGGAAUCACUGGGCGUAAAGGGCGCGUAGGCGGCCUGGCAAGUCGGUGGUGAAAGCUCGGGGCUCAACCUCGGAUCGGCCGUGGCGACUCGUGGGCUGGAGCACUGUAGAGGCGGGUGGAAUUCCGGGUGUAGCGGUGGAAUGCGUAGAGAUCCGGAAGAACACCAGUGGCGAAGGCGGCCCGCUGGGCAGUGGCUGACGCUGAGGCGCGACAGCGUGGGGAGCAAACGAGG